UGCCCGCGCUGGUUUCCCACUUUCCCUGCGGGGCUGUCAGCCAGUCACGAAGCGUGCGUGCUUCGAGAAAGCAUCUCUGAGCCGUGCGGGAGGCAUGGGCGGCGGCGGGCGGAGGGGCCCGCGGUGGGGCCUGCCGCCGGCGAGGUCGAAGGUGCUGGGGAAGCUGGGCCCAUCCUUCGGCGCCGGCGCCGGCUGCGGCGUCGGUGUCGGCGUCGGACUCAUCGGCGGAGUCGGGCCUGGGUUCCCUGGAUUGCACUUAGGAUUUGGAGUUGGCGUGGGUUGUGGCAUAGGGAUUGGAUUCGGGUACGGUUUUGGAACAGGAGUUGCUUAUGAUGAAAAUGGGAAAUAUUCAAACAUUGUCAGAUCAAAUCAGAAAUCUAAGGGCCUCCCAUCAGAGUAAGAUUUAACUUAGUGCCACAUACCUGUUGCAAGAUGGUAUCAUCUCAUUCCUUUUGCAAUGCCUGUAGUUAUAUUCGUAAAAUCAUGUGCUCUUCUGCUGAUUAUAUAAAAUUUUCUGUAAUUAUCCAAAAUUGCAAUUAGUUUUGUUUCUUAUAUGAUUGCCAUCAGCACCAACAGCAUAGAGGAAUUAACUAUUUCCACACCUUGGGUUUGCUUUGCAUAGGCCUAUCUCAGAAUUAUUCGUAUCUCCUUAAAAGGUAACUGUUUACAUACCCAAAACAGUAGUGUCUAGGAACCGUGCAAGCAAUUUGUGCAACCGCACCUUAUGUGCUCAGCAGACUUAAUAGGACUCACAAGUCACUCCCACAGAUCCUGUUUUUUGGUUGAGAGAUGCUGUAGGCUUUCAAGCCCAAAAAUAAGCUAUCCUUUUGGCCCUGGUUAGCUUGUCUUGUUGAUAACUACUUGGGCAAACAGGCCUAUAGUUUCUUCAAAUGUUCCCUAACAAACAUUAUCAUGAGUAGUCGCAGAUAUUGUACGAAGAUUGAUCACUGGUACUCUGUAUCAGAGUUCUUCCCAGUUGAAUCCAGGUCUUGCAUAUAAGCUGCCUGAAGUGACUUUGGGGCCCAAGAGCUUUGACAUUCACAUAAAAAAGAGAGAUUGGUAUGGUACCCGGCGCAGGAAUAGGACUGAAACCAUGGUGGGAGGUUAAACAGCCUCCACCACCAGAGAUCAGAUCGAUGUAUUGCUUGACGAGCUGAUCGAGAACACAAAGAAAUUAAUCAAAGCAACUUCAAAGGAAAUUGAUAAAUGGAGGCGAGCUUAAUGCAAUAGGCACCAGGAUCUGCUGAUACUUAGAUGCUCAGGACAUUGCUGUAGGCACAUAACCUAGCUGCAACUCGAUAUGUCUUAUGUGAAUUCUCUACAGAAGUCUGUAUCUCGUGAGAAAUGCUGUACAUAUUUUACACUUGUAGCAAAUGCCUGGUUUGCUCAGCAUCUGGUUGGAUGCAAUUGAAUGUGAUCGCAUUGGUCGACCAUUAGAUACUAAACACUAUCCUGGAUCGUUGUUUCAGAUCCUUGUGUUGUUUAGCAUGCCCAUGGCCAUUCUAUAAUUGUGUAACUGUCGAGCUGAAUUGGUCGUCUGAGUCUAUACUCUGUAGCUUACUCCAGUCCUAGCUAUUGCAAAGUGUAACCUUAAUCUUUAUGCAUUCUUGUCCAACAA